rnacentral:rRNA from 1 species
UACAGAGGGGGCAAGCGUUAUUCGGAAUUAUUGGGCGUAAAGGGCGCGUAGGUGCCUGGCAAGUGGAAGGUGAAAUCCCUCGGCUUAACCGAGGAACUGCCCCUCCAAACUGCUUGGCUUGAGUCCGGGAGAGGUGAGUGGAAUUCCCAGUGUAGCGGUGAAUGCGUAGAUAUGGGAGGAACACCAGUGGCGAAGGCGGCUCGCUGGACCGGAACUGACGCUGAGGCGCGAAAGCGUGGGGAGCAAACGGG